rnacentral:lncRNA from 1 species
GGAACUAACUUUUGUUUGUUUUUUUUUAUAGUGAUGAUAUGGAUAGUUUUUGAUGGGGCAGGAAUGGGAAGUUGAUCUGUAUCUGAGAUUCUGACUCAUGUGAAGUACUGCACUGAAGAAGAUUGUGAGGGCUUUACAUGAUACGCAGAACACGGCCUUGCAUGGUGUGGUCUUGAUUCCUGUUGAAGGCACACUGGAUUAUGUUAACACAAAUAAUAGAAACUGAAGGAUUCUGCCAAUUACAAAGUAUUAUUUGAAAACUACAUACGCUUCCUAUUUUUUCACUGCUCUAGCUCUUCUGUAAACACAUAUUCAGAAAUA